rnacentral:rRNA from 1 species
UAGGGAAUCUUCCACAAUGGGCGCAAGCCUGAUGGAGCAACACCGCGUGAGUGAAGAAGGGUUUCGGCUCGUAAAGCUCUGUUGUUAAAGAAGAACACGUAUGAGAUUAACUGUUCAUACGUUGACGGUAUUUAACUAGAAAGUCACGGCUAACUACGUGCCAGCAGCCGCGGUAAUACGUAGGUGGCAAGCGUUAUCCGGAUUUAUUGGGCGUAAAGAGAGUGCAGGCGGUUUUCUAAGUCUGAUGUGAAAGCCUUCGGCUUAACCGGAGAAGUGCAUCGGAAACUGGAUAACUUGAGUGCAGAAGAGGGUAGUGGAACUCCAUGUGUAGCGGUGGAAUGCGUAGAUAUAUGGAAGAACACCAGUGGCGAAGGCGGCUACCUGGUCUGCAACUGACGCUGAGACUCGAAAGCAUGGGUAGCGAACAGGAUUAGAUACCCUGGUAGUCCAUGCCGUAAACGAUGAGUGCUAGGUGUUGGAGGGUUUCCGCCCUUCAGUGCCGGAGCUAACGCAUUAAGCACUCCGCCUGGGGAGUACGACCGCAAGGUU